rnacentral:lncRNA from 1 species
UCUCGCUCCAGCUCCUCCCGGUGUGCGUUCUUCAUGGCUUCGAUGGCUGAAAUGGUGGCAGCUGUUUCCUCUGCCAGCAGGCGGUCCUUCUCCUCCCGCAGCUUCUCCAGCUCCCGCUGGUGCUGCCUCUGCAGGUCCUCGAUCUUCUUCUGGUGUGUCUCCUCCAUGGCUGCAAAGCCUCUCUCACAUGUUGCCUGCAACACGUAGCCCUCACGGGCGCUCUGCUCCCGGCCCAGUGCCACUUUCAGCUGGUCCUGCAGGUGUCGGUUCUGCUCCAGGAGCUCCAAGGCCUCCUUCUGCUUCUGCUCCAGCUCCUUCUCCAGCAGCGUGGUCAGGUGCUGCUUUGCCAGCCCCUCAUCUCGGUCCUCAGCGUGGGCAAGGUGCAGGGGCGCGAUGGGAAUCUGCUUCUCCUCCCGCAGCGGGGUGGUCUCCACCUGGUGCCACCGCUGCUCGAUCUCCACGUGGACGUUCUGCGGUUUGAUGUCUGCGGGGACGGGCAGGAUCCGAUCCACCUCCAUCCUCAGCGUCUCCUCUGGUCCCGCUCCAUCCACCGUGUCAACCAUCUCAAAGCGUUUGCGCCGCUCCUCGCGCCGCCGGGCCCGCUCCCGCUCCAGCUCACCCGGGUCGGUGUCGGCGGUGCCGCUGUCCCUGGGGAAGGCGGUGGUGCCACUCUUGGAGGACUCGGCGGCGUUGGCGCGCUCCUGAGCCAGGGCUUGCUGGAUGGGGCGGAACUCAGCCCAGUCAAAGGUCUUGGAUCGUCCUUCUCGCCGGCGCUCCCGCGCACGGCUCCGCUUCUGCUCCGGGUCCAGCUCAGUUUGCUCCACAUCCGGCUUCUCGCUGGGCUUUGGGCUGGGCUCAAAGGUUGAGCUUGUUUUGCUUUUCUCCUCUGGCAGGGAGCUCGUUACAUCGGGUGCGGUGGUGGGGCGAACGUGCUUCAUGAUGGUCUGAAUCCAGUUGCGGCGGAUGCCAGACGUCAUGGCAGAGAGGGUGAAUUCCCCUUCCUUUGUGUGGAUCUGGAAGCCAUAGUUCCGCUGAACUGGGUACUCAGUGACAUCAUAGCACGUUGAUAAAUCAAUUUCCCCAUCC